rnacentral:misc_RNA from 1 species
GAAAUGCGAUAAGUAAUGAGAAUUGCAGAAUUCAGUGAAUCAUCGAAUCUUUGAACGCACCUUGCGCUCCUUGGUAUUCCCUGGAGCAUGCCUGUUUGAGUAUCAUGAAAUCUUCAAAGUAAAUCUUUUGUUAACUCAAUUGGUUUCUACUUUGGUAUUGGAGGUCUUUGCAGCUUCACACCUGCUCCUCUUUGUUCAUUAGCUGGAUCUCAGUGUUAUGCUUGGUUCCACUCGGCGUGAUAAGUUAUCUAUCGCUGAGGACACUGUAAAAGGUGGCCAAGGUAAAUGCAGAUGAACCGCUUCUAAUAGUCCAUUGACUUGGACAAUACUUUUAUGAUCUGAUCUCAAAUCAGGUAGGACUACCCGCUGAACUUAAGC